rnacentral:rRNA from 1 species
CAGACGAUGCGUCAUGCAUAUCAAUAAGCGGAGGAAAAGAAACUAACUAGGAUUCCCUCAGUAACGGCGAGUGAAGCGGGAAGAGCUCAAAUUUGAAAUCUUCAAGGUUCUACCUUGACGAAUUGUAGUUUAAAGAAGUGUUUUCGGUUAGAGGAGUAGUAAAAGUUCUUUGGAAUAGGACAUCAUAGAGGGUGAGAAUCCCGUAUUUGACCAUUCUUUCUAGCUUUGUGAUACACUUUCAAAGAGUCGGAUUGUUUGGGAAUGCAGUCCAAAAUGGGUGGUAAAUUUCAUCUAAAGCUAAAUAUUGGCGAGAGACCGAUAGCGAACAAGUACCGCGAGGGAAAGAUGAAAAGAACUUUGAAAAGAGAGUUAAACAGUACGUGAAAUUGUCAAAAGGGAAGCGUUUGACACCAGUGUUGUUUUCUCGAAAAUCAAUUAAAAAAGGCCGGAUUUUGUGUUGUAUUGACUUUAUCAGCUUUCUGCACUUUUUUCCUGCUUUUUUUAAUGCACUUUUCGUUUAACAAGUCAACAUCAGUUUCUUUUGUUGUAAAAGGGUCAUUGGAAGGUGGCUUUCUCUUCGGAGAAAGUGUUUAUAGCCUUUGAUCUCUGCAAUCGGAGAGACUGAGGUCUGCAGCGUAGAUCCUUCGGGGUUAGAUACAUUUGUGCUAAGCUACAGCUUUUCAUAGACAACUUGUUGACUAUGUUUAGUCUUGUAACUUACCCGCUUAUGCUAUUUUACCUACGCUUAGGAUGUUGAUAUGCAUGACUGAUAU